rnacentral:rRNA from 1 species
CCUACGGGUGGCAGCAGUGGGGAAUAUUGCACAAUGGGGGAAACCCUGAUGCAGCGACGCCGCGUGAGUGAAGAAGUAAUUCGUUAUGUAAAGCUCUAUCAGCAGGGAAGAAACUGACGGUACUUGCUUAAGAAGCAGCGGCUAACUACGUCCAAGCAGCCGCGGUAAUACGUAGGGGGCAAGCGUUAUCCGGAUUUACUGGGUGUUAAGGGAGCGUAGACGGCAGUGCAAGUCUGGAGUGAAAGGCGCGGGCUCAACCCCCGGACUGCUUUUGAAACUGUACGGCUGGAGUGCAGGAGAGGUAAGUGGAAUUCCUAGUGUAGCGGUGAAAUGCGUAGAUAUUAGGAGGAACACCAGUGGCGAAGGCGGCUUACUGGACUGUAACUGACGUUGAGGCGCGAAAGCGUGGGGAGCAAACAGGAUUAGAUACCCGGGUAGUC